GACGAACGCUGGCGGCGUGCUUAACACAUGCAAGUCGAGCGGAAAGGCCCUUCGGGGUACUCGAGCGGCGAACGGGUGAGUAACACGUGAGUAACCUGCCCUAGGCUUUGGGAUAACCCCGGGAAACCGGGGCUAAUACCGGAUAUGACCUGGUGCCGCAUGGUGUUGGGUGGAAAGUUUUUUCGGCCUGGGAUGGGCUCGCGGCCUAUCAGCUUGUUGGUGGGGUGAUGGCCUACCAAGGCGAUGACGGGUAGCCGGCCUGAGAGGGCGACCGGCCACAGUGGGAUUGAGGUACGGCCGAGACUCCUACGGGAGGAAGCAGUGGGGAAUAGUGCAGAAUGGGCUGAAGCCGGACGCAGCGACGCCGUGUGAGGGAUGAAGGCCUGCGGUUUGUAAACAGCUGUCGCCAGUGACGAAGCGUGAGUGACGGUAAUUGAGAAAGAAGCGCGGGCUAACUACGUG
rnacentral:rRNA from 1 species